rnacentral:rRNA from 1 species
UACGUAGGGUGCGAGCGUUACUCGGAAUUACUGGGCGUAAAGCGCGCGUAGGCGGACCUGCAAGUCGGGGGUGAAAGCCCGAGGCUCAACCUCGGAACUGCCUUCGAUACUGCGGGUCUCGAGUCCGGGAGAGGUGAGUGGAAUUCCUAGUGUAGAGGUGAAAUUCGUAGAUAUUAGGAAGAACACCAGUGGCGAAGGCGGCUCACUGGCCCGGUACUGACGCUGAGGCGCGAAAGCGUGGGGAGCGAACAGG